rnacentral:rRNA from 1 species
CGAUGGAUGCCCAGCUUGCUGGGCGGAUUAGUGGCGAACGGGUGAGUAAUACGUGAGUAACCUGCCCUUGACUCUGGGAUAAGCCUGGGAAACUGGGUCUAAUACUGGAUACUACUUCUUGCCGCAUGGUGGGUGGUGGAAAGGGUUUUACUGGUUUUGGAUGGGCUCACGGCCUAUCAGCUUGUUGGUGGGGUAAUGGCUCACCAAGGCGACGACGGGUAGCCGGCCUGAGAGGGUGACCGGCCACACUGGGACUGAGACACGGCCCAGACUCCUACGGGAGGCAGCAGUGGGGAAUAUUGCACAAUGGGCGGAAGCCUGAUGCAGCGACGCCGCGUGAGGGAUGACGGCCUUCGGGUUGUAAACCUCUUUCAGUAGGGAAGAAGCGAGAGUGACGGUACCUGCAGAAGAAGCGCCGGCUAACUACGUGCCAGCAGCCGCGGUAAUACGUAGGGCGCAAGCGUUGUCCGGAAUUAUUGGGCGUAAAGAGCUCGUAGGCGGUUUGUCGCGUCUGCUGUGAAAGCCCGGGGCUCAACCCCGGGUCUGCAGUGGGUACGGGCAGACUAGAGUGCAGUAGGGGAGACUGGAAUUCCUGGUGUAGCGGUGAAAUGCGCAGAUAUCAGGAGGAACACCGAUGGCGAAGGCAGGUCUCUGGGCUGUUACUGACGCUGAGGAGCGAAAGCAUGGGGAGCGAACAGGAUUAGAUACCCUGGUAGUCCAUGCCGUAAACGUUGGGCACUAGGUGUGGGGGACAUUCCACGUUUUCCGCGCCGUAGCUAACGCAUUAAGUG